rnacentral:rRNA from 1 species
UACGAAGGGGGCUAGCGUUGCUCGGAAUUACUGGGCGUAAAGCGCACGUAGGCGGCUUGUUAAGUCAGGGGUGAAAUCCUGGAGCUCAACUCCAGAACUGCCUUUGAUACUGGCGAGCUUGAGUUCGGGAGAGGUGAGUGGAACUGCGAGUGUAGAGGUGAAAUUCGUAGAUAUUCGCAAGAACACCAGUGGCGAAGGCGGCUCACUGGCCCGAUACUGACGCUGAGGUGCGAAAGCCAGGGGAGCGAACGGG